rnacentral:tRNA from 1 species
GCGGAAGUAGCUCAGUUGGUAGAGCGUCAGCCUUCCAAGCUGAAUGUCGCGGGUUCGACCC